GAAUAGCUUAGUCGGUAGACAACAUGAGACUCUUAAUCUCAGAACUGUGGGUUCGAGCCCCACACUGAGCAACA